CACAGAACCUCCUGGGUUCAAGCGAUUCUCCUGCCUCAGCCUCCCAAGUAGUUGGGAUUACAGGACAGUGCUCAUUUCAUGAGUAUUUAUUGAUGAUAGAAGUGAGAUGAGGAGGAGGAAGAAGAAAGGGAGAGGAAUGCAUUUCUGGACAGGGUGACUACAUGAAAAAAGCUACCCACCGCAGCUGCCCCCCACCCUUUCCUUCAAUGACGAUGUUUGCAGGCUUCAGGGGACUAGGGAACAAAGCUGGGGCCUGGUAGCCCCAUUACGCUGCCAGCCGGGAAGAAGAAGUCACAAUUACAAAUUAUCACAACAGUUAGCGCCUGUACUUGGGGUAUCUGCAAAGUGAGGAGGCCCCAACUCCUCAUUGUACAGGGGUCUAUUUGGCAGUGACCUUGCUCUGGAGGCAAUGAUACUCCUUCAGCCUGAGGGAAUUGAUGUUGAUGAACCCGGUGGCAUCAAUUGGCUCAUAAUCACCCUGCACGUUCAUGCUCACCAGCUCCUCGUUGUAGGGAGACAGUGGGGACUCCCGGCUAAGGAUGUACACCUGGCCCUUGAGGACGGAUACCUGUGCUUUCCCUUCCACUCUGUCCUAGGACUUGGCGAUGCAGUGGCGGACAAAUUCACACUCAGGGCUGUGCUGGAAACCGGCAAAUUUCAAGCUCAGCAAAUUUCAAGCCCAGGCCUUGUUUGAUUUUGCGCACCUCCCGCCUGGUCCAUGGUGAAGGCCUCGCUGUCUAAAUGAGUGUGGUAAAGGAUGGUGCCUGCUGGGGUCUCAUAGAUACCUCGGGACUUCCAGUGAAGCGGUUCUCCAUGAUGUCAGUACUUCCCACACCGUGCUUGCCCGCGACUUCGUUCAGGUACAUGAAGAACUCCAAGGAGGUCUGGUGGGUGGAACCAUCCUUGACGUUGGUCACCUUCACAGGGACCCUUUUUAAAAUUCGUUCUCGAGGAUGUCAGGGGUGUUGAGGGCUUUGGCCGGUUCCUGGGUCUUUGUGUAGAGACCUGGAGGCACUUGGUUCUUGGGGUUCUCCAGGAUUCCAGCCUCCUAGCUGAUGUGCAUGAGGUUCUUGUCCAUGCUCCACGGAUUCUUGGGAGUGACGGGAAUGGGAAUCCCGUGUUGCUUUGCGUAUUCCAUCAGCUCAUUACUGCCCUUGAACUGGUUAUAGAACUCGGGCAUCCUCCAGGGUGCAAUGACUUUUAUCUGGAGGGGGCCAGCGAGUACCAGGUGAGCUCAAAUUGGACCUAAUCGUUCCCCUUACCCGUGGUGCCGUGGGCACUCUCUCCUGCUGGACGAUUUCCACUUGUUUGCUGGCAAAGCAGGACCUGGCGAGAGAGGUGCCCAGGAGGUAGCGGUCCUCACACGGUGUGCUGGACUGGAUGGCCGGCCAGAUGAACUCCUCCACAAACUCCCUGAUGACAUCCUCAAUGAACACCAUUUUGGCCACAAGUUUCAGUGCCGCCUUCCUGGCUUCCUCGAAGUCUUCCUUCUGGCCAGUGUUGGCCAGGUAGGCAAUGAUGUCAUAGCCUUGUUCCUUCAUCCACACGAGGAUGCAGGAGGUGUCCAGGCCUCCACCAUAGGCCAGAACCAUGGAGCCUUUGCUGGACCUGGCAUCUGGGAUUGGAGGCCUAGUUCUAAGCAUCUGGAGUCUGUCUUCAUAGUGCAGUGAACCACUCGGGCUCAGGCAGCUGUGGCAGGCAACAGAGCAGGAGCAGUCAGAUUUUUAAACCAUUGUUAAAGGUUUACAGUUCUGUGUCCUUUUGGAAGCAGUGUGGCCCCAGACUGACAACUGACCCUCAAAGAGGAAGAAAAACCCUCACCUUGCCCCCCGACAACACUGCAGCGCUGUUUCUCAUAACUUGUAACUGCUGCUUCCCUACUCUGUCCACGGAGCAGAAUAUGAAUCCUGCAAUUUCUUUGAAUUUGUGAACAUUCACUGUCAAAGGGAGAUUACGGUGGUCUAAAAUUCAAGACCAUGCCAACUUUAAAGAAGGUAAACAGGAAAAUCUUGGGGCAUACAGCACGAAUGCCUCUGAAAGGAAGUUGGCAGGAGAUAAGAGGCUGAGAUCUGGAGGAAACAAAUAAUAACUCAAGUGCUCUCCAGUGGAGAGGAGGCUGAGAAGAGGCCACUCUGGCUUGCUCCACAGGCCCUAGACCACUCCCGGGCUGCUCAGGUGUGAGUCUGUUUGCUGAUUUGCUGACAUCACCGGCCUCAAAACUCCUGACACAGCAAGUGCAAAAGAAACCACUGAGGUAAACGGCACAUUCUGGGAUCUGCAAGUCUCCUAUAAGUAGCUGUUCCAAUUUCCAAAUGUUAAAACAAAAAAGUAAGCUCAUAAAGAACUUGCUGAUGCAUUCUAUUUUUAAAAUAAUAAUAAAAAAUAAUUUGGGUGAUACUGCAUAGCUCACAAAAUAUUUCCACGUGCAUUAUCUUAAUGCAAACGACAAUCGCGUAGGGGUGGAUUCAAUUCACCUACUUUUGCUUACAAGACGGCCCAAGCACCGAGAAGCGAAGAAAAGCACUUAGCACACAGGACUGCAGAGCCACCCACCCCUCUGCGGGUUCCCAGGGGGAGGCGCUCGAAGAUGAAGUACAAACCCAUCCCCAGGCUCCGAAAGAAAAGUCUACAAGCUGACCUCUGUGGGAGGGUCAGGGCCCAGGGUCUAAAUAUAGACAUGCUGUGCAGCUGUUUCUGUUUCUUGCACGCACAGCAGAGAAGGAAAAGCGUUUGGGGUUCACUUCUGCCAGGAAAUAAAUACAUAACCGGCCUCGUGGUGGCCAUGCUGUAGCUGGCACACUCUGAGCAGUCACCUUGGGGGAUGACAGGGGCAUCCUCCGCUAAGCGUGGUAACAGCCUUGGGCGGGAACAUUCGGGAACACCCCAAAUGCUGGGGAGAAAGAGGGCCCCCCUCCCUGGGUAUGAGUCACCAAAUCCUUGAGCGACUUAGGUGCUCCUGCCCCACCCUCUUCUCCACCUCAGCCCAGCCUCUCAAAUACCGUGAUCCGCAGACACCCCCAGGUUGGGAAACCGACUGAACAAGAGGGAAGAGGCAAGUUCCGUGGACAGGAAUCCCUGGAGACACACCCAGCAGCCGAGGAGGGCAGAGGUGCUCCAGUCGGGCCGCUGAGCCAUCCUUCUUGGCUGGGUUCUGAAAAGAAAGGGUAGUGGGCACCGUCCGCUGGAAGUGGGCUGGGUGCCUACGACCCCCACCAGCUCUAAGUCCAAGGGUUCUGCGUGUUCAGAUUUCUUUCUGAGUGGCCCCUACCACCCUCGUCCUGCAUAAAAAAGAAUGCAGGGACUCAAGGUAGGCAUUCUGUAGAGAUUUGAAUAUUCGGUAAUACCUGGACAUUCAGCACAGCACAGGAAGAUGCAGUUUCCAAUAGAUUUCCAAAUAUCUCCUUAGCUGCCCUCAGACGUCGCCAGCCCUUGUUCUGCCUCUAGCAGACUCCCAGAGCUGUGUGCAUUUCAACCGGGCCCAUGUUUUGAGAUGUGGGGAGAGACUGUAGGGUGCACUUUCUGGUUAGACAGCGUGGCCACUGGAAGAACCAUAAAAUUAGAAGUUGAUUGAUUUGAGCUUGAGUCCUAGUUCCAGCAGUGAAAACCCAGUCUGGACUUGUACACAAGUGUCUGAAUGUUGGUUCUGUUCUGCCACACUGUGGCCUGUGAUUUUUAAUAAGUCCUUUAACUUCUCUGAGCCUCAACUUCCUCACUUGCAAAAUGGAUACAAUUACCAACCUUAUAGAGUUGGACUGAGGAUUGAGAUAAUGCCCAAUAGGGGAGCUGGCACAAUGCCUGAUAACUGAGAGGUGACAAUGUGCUAGCAGCCCUCACUCUCAGUGCCUCCUCGGCCUCUGCCCUCGGCGUCCACUCUGGCAGCACUUGAGCCCUUCAGCCCGCCAUGGCACCGUGGGAGCCCCUCUCUAGGAUGGCUGAGACGGGAGCCUCCUCCCUCUGCUUGCGGGGAGGUAUGGAGGGAGAGGCGCGGGUGGGAACCGCGGCUGCGCUCGCCGGACGGUAUGAGUUCCGGUGGGCGCUGGCGCGAGCUCCGCGGGCCCCACACACUGAGCGGCCAGCCGGCACCGCCGGCCCAGGGCAGUGUGGGGCUUAGCACUGGGGCCAGCAGUUGCGGAGGUUGCGCCGGGUCCCCCAGCAGUGCCAGCUCGCCGGCUUCGCACUCAAAUUCUGGCUGGGUCUUAGCUGCCUCCAGGUGGGGCAGGGCUCGGGACCUACAGCCCGCCAUGUCUGAGCUCCUCCCCCUGCGGUGGGCUCCCACGCGGCCUGAGCCUCCCUUACGGGCGCCGCCCCCUGCUCCGUGGUGCCCGGUCCCACUUGACAGCCCAAGGGCUGAGGAGUGCAGGCAGGGCUCCGGACUGGCAGGCAGCUCCACCUGCAGCCCUGAUGCAG